GCGAGACUCCAGAUGGGUCGUAGUCGCAGUCGCUCCCCGCGGAGAGAACGUAGGCGGUCCCGGUCCGCAUCCCGGGAGAGAGAACGCAGGCGCCGGGAAAGGUCCCGGUCGCGGGAGAGAGAUCGCAGAAGGAGCCGCUCGAGAUCCCCGCACCGAAGACGCUCCAGAUCUCCAAGGCGACAUAGAUCCACAUCUCCUUCCCCUUCUCGACUGAAAGAAAGAAGAGAUGAAGAAAAGAAGGAAACAAAGGAAACAAAGAGCAAAGAACGUCAAAUUACUGAGGAAGACUUAGAGGGAAAAACAGAGGAAGAAAUAGAAAUGAUGAAAUUAAUGGGAUUUGCCUCUUUUGACACCACAAAAGGGAAGAAGGUGGAUGGCUCUGUCAAUGCCUAUGCCAUAAAUGUGUCUCAGAAGAGGAAGUACAGGCAGUACAUGAAUCGAAAAGGUGGAUUCAACAGACCAUUGGAUUUCAUUGCAUGAGAAUUGAAAUGUUGAAGAAAGAAUUUUUUUCCCCUCACCUUGGUCAGAGUGGAUUUUGUAUUUUGUAUUUAAUAUGCAUCAAAAACAGGAUCUCAAUUCUUCUUUGUAAAUGUUUGAAUGUGUCUUGUGACUCAAUAUGGAAAUUCAUAACUGCCUUGUCUUUAUAUAACUACCAACAGAAGGAUUUGUAAUCUGGGUUCUGGGAGAAACAGACCUGGGUUCAGUUCCCACCUCUGCUGCUGAUUGGAUGACCAGGAAAGCAAUUUAGCCUCUCUGGGCCUCCUUCUUCAUGUGCAAAAUAUAAUCACAACCUACUUCAUGAGGUUAUACUGAAGAUUUGAACUAAUGUAGGUAAGUUCCCUGACACAUAGUAAGGUAUUAUUACCCUAUGUUGGCAACAAAAAUAAACUUUUUAAAAAGGAAA